rnacentral:rRNA from 1 species
GACGAACGCUGGCGGCGUGCCUAAUACAUGCAAGUCGAGCGGACAGACGGGAGCUUGCUCCCUGAUGUUAGCGGCGGACGGGUGAGUAACACGUGGGUAACCUGCCUGUAAGACUGGGAUAACUCCGGGAAACCGGGGCUAAUACCGGAUGGUUGUCUGAACCGCAUGGUUCAGACAUAAAAGGUGGCUUCGGCUACCACUUACAGAUGGACCCGCGGCGCAUUAGCUAGUUGGUGAGGUAACGGCUCACCAAGGCAACGAUGCGUAGCCGACCUGAGAGGGUGAUCGGCCACACUGGGACUGAAACACGGCCCAGACUCCUACGGGAGGCAGCAGUAGGGAAUCUUCCGCAAUGGACGAAAGUCUGACGGAGCAACGCCGCGUGAGUGAUGAAGGUUUUCGGAUCGUAAAGCUCUGUUGUUAGGGAAGAACAAGUGCCGUUCAAAUAGGGCGGCACCUUGACGGUACCUAACCAGAAAGCCACGGCUAACUACGUG